ACUAGGGUGAAGAGUCCCAAAUAGAACGAAAUGCGCAUCCUGGAU
rnacentral:hammerhead_ribozyme from 1 species